GGAUUGGAGUCUGCAACUCGACUCCAUGAAGUCGGAAUCGCUAGUAAUCGUAGAUCAGAAUGCUACGGUGAAUACGUUCCCGGGCCUUGUACACACCGCCCGUCACACCAUGGGAGUGGGCUGCACCAGAAGUGGUUAGUUUAACCGCCCUUUCUUCGGAGAGAGUGGAGGACGAUCACCACGGUGUGGUUCAUGACUGGGGUGAAGUCGUAACAAGGUAGCCCUAGGGGAACCUGGGGCUGGAUCACCUCCUUAUACGAAGAU
rnacentral:rRNA from 1 species